rnacentral:rRNA from 1 species
CCUACGGGUGGCAGCAGUGAGGAAUAUUGGUCAAUGGACGAGAGUCUGAACCAGCCAAGUAGCGUGAAGGAUGACUGCCCUAUGGGUUGUAAACUUCUUUUAUAUGGGAAUAAAAUGUUCCACGUGUGGGAUUUUGUAUGUACCAUAUGAAUAAGGAUCGGCUAACUCCGUGCCAGCAGCCGCGGUAAUACGGAGGAUCCGAGCGUUAUCCGGAUUUAUUGGGUUUAAAGGGAGCGUAGGUGGAUUGUUAAGUCAGUUGUGAAAGUUUGCGGCUCAACCGUAAAAUUGCAGUUGAAACUGGCAGUCUUGAGUACAGUAGAGGUGGGCGGAAUUCGUGGUGUAGCGGUGAAAUGCUUAGAUAUCACGAAGAACUCCGAUUGCGAAGGCAGUUCACUGGACUGCCACUGACACUGAGGCUCGAAAGUGUGGGUAUCAAACAGGAUUAGAUACCCUAGUAGUC